GCCGGGCGCAGUGGCACACUCCUGUAGUCCCAACCACUGAGGAGGCUGAGGCAGGAGGAUAGUGAGUUCAAAGGCCAGCCUCAGCAGUUUAGCAAGGCCCUAAGCAACUUAGCAAGACCCUGUUUCUA
rnacentral:sRNA from 1 species